rnacentral:rRNA from 1 species
UACAGAGGUCUCAAGCGUUGUUCGGAUUCAUUGGGCGUAAAGGGUGUGUAGGUGGCGCCGUAAGUCGGGUGUGAAAUUUCGGAGCUUAACUCCGAAACUGCAUUCGAUACUGCGGUGCUUGAGGACUGGGAGAGGAGACUGGAAUUCAUGGUGUAGCAGUGAAAUGCGUAGAGAUCAUGAGGAAGACCAGUGGCGAAGGCGGGUCUCUAGUACGGUACUGACGCUGAGACGCGAAAGCGUGGGGAGCGAACAGG